rnacentral:rRNA from 1 species
GAUGAACGCUAGCUACAGGCUUAACACAUGCAAGUCGAGGGGUAGCACGGAGGAAGCUUGCUUCCUUGGGUGACGACCGGCGCACGGGUGAGUAACGCGUAUCCGACCUACCCAUUACUCGGGCACAGCCGCUCGAAAGAGUGAUUGAUUCCCGAUAUGUCCUUGGAGUAGAUUCAAUGAUGAAAGAUUUGUCGGUAAUGGAUGGGGAUGCGUAAGAUUAGGUAGUAGGCGGGGUAACGGCCCACCUAGCCGACGAUCUUUAGGGGUUCUGAGAGGAAGGUCCCCCACACUGGUACUGAGACACGGACCAGACUCCUACGGGAGGCAGCAGUGAGGAAUAUUGGUCAAUGGGCGGGAGCCUGAACCAGCCAAGUAGCGUGAAGGAUGACUGCCCUACGGGUUGUAAAACUUCUUUUAGUAGGGACGAAUACAUGACGGUACCUACAGAAAAAGCAAACGGCUAACUACGUGCCAGCAGCCGCGGU